rnacentral:lncRNA from 10 species
GGCUGAGCUCUCCCUGACCCUAGACUCUUCUUUACUGACAGGCUAGUGUCCAUAUGGAUGGAUCAUUCAUUCACUCAUUCAUUUAUUUAAUACACUCCCUGUCUGUUCGAUGCACACUCCCCUUCUCUCCACUUCUGGCCCCGUUUCCUCUAAUCCUUCAUUCCUUGGUUCCCAGAGGGUUAAAUGUAGAUCGAUAUGUCACCUCUGGCUCCAAAGGUCUCUGAAGGGCCAGGUGCGGUGGCUCAAGCCUAUAAUCCUAGCACUUUGGGAGGCCGAGGUGGGUGGAUCACCUGAGGUAAGGAGUUCGAGACCAGCCUGGCCAACAAGGUGAAACCCCAUCUCUACUAAAAACACAAAAAUUAGCCAGACUUGGUGGUGGGCGCCUGUAAUCCCAGCUACUCAGGAGGCUGAGGCAGGAGAAUCACUUGAACCUGGGAGGCAGAGGUUGCAGUGAGCCAAGAUCACACCACUGCACUCCAGCCUGGGCAACAAGAGGGAAACAAAAAAACAAAACAAACAAAAAUAAAUAAUUUAAAAAUAAGGGUCUCUGAAGACUUCCUGCUACUUUCUGGGUCCAUGCCCCUCCUCUCCGUCCUCCACUUCCCACCGGGCUCUUCAGGCUCCAGCCUAGAUAACACCAGGUUAAAUUUUGAUCUCCCGGGGACUGGGUGUCGGGAGGGAAAGGCGGGGGGAGUGUCAGAGAGGGGAUGGAUUUCUCCCACCACACUUGGGGAGGCCUCCGGAUGGAUAUGUCCUUCCAGCUGAUGGACCUCAGGAUUGGGAGAAAGAUCGGGGACAAGAGACGGGCACAACAGUCACCUGGUUUCUUUUUCUUCCUUUAUUUUUUGAGACUGAGUCUCGCUGUAUCACCUAGGCUAGAGUGCAGUGACACGAUCUUGGCUCACUGCAACCUCCACUUCCCAGGUUCAAAUGAUUCUCCUGCCUCAGCCUUCUGAGUAUCUGGGAUUACAGGCGUGCACUGCCAUACCCGACUAAUUUUUGGAUUUUAGUAGAGAUGGGGUUUUGCCAUGUUGGCCAGGCUGGUCUUGAACUCCUGACCUCAAGUGAUCUGCCCACCUUGGCCUCCCAACGUGUUGGGAUUACAGGUGUGAGCCACCGUGCCCAGCCACAUGGUGUCUUCCGUGACAGCUCCCUCUCUGCUGAAAUAGCAUUUCCCACCCCCACCCAUGGCAUCACUCUUCUGCUGCCAUUUUCAUCAAAGACUGAUGUCACUUGGCAUGUUUUUAGGUUUUUUUCUGGUGGCUUUUAUUUUUUUAAUUUUAGAGAUGAGGUCUCACUAUGUUGCCCAGCCUAGUCUCAAAUUCCUAAGCUCAAGGGAUCCACCUGCCUCUAUCUCCCAAAGUGCCUGGGAUUACACGUAUGAGCCACCGCACCAAGCCCAUGUUGAGCUUUUAAGGUAUUAAAGAUCCACUAGGUGAAAAAAAAGAGUGAAAGAUACAUAUGCCAUUUAAGGGAAGCACAGGAAAACUCCUAUUUUGUUUAUAUGUGAAUAGAGGCACAUAGAUGCCUAGAAAAGUGUCUGGGAGGGAAUGAAACCAGAUUGGCCACAAAAAUCACCUCUGGAAAAAGGAAAAGAAUGGGGACUUUCACUUUUUGCUUCAUAUGUUUCAUGUACCUUUUUUUUUUUUUUUUUGAGAUGGAGUUUCACUCUUAUUGCCCAGGCUGGGGUGCAGUGGUGCGAUCUCAGCUCACUGCAACCUCUGCCUCCUAGGUUCAAGCGAUUCUCCUGCCUCAGCCUCCCAAGUAGCUGGGAUUACAGGCAUGCGCCACCACGCCCGGCUAAUUUUUUGUGUUUUUAGUAGAGACGAGGUUUCUCCAUGUUGGUCAGGCUGGUCUCGAACUCCUGACAUCAGGUGAUCUACCCACUUUGGCCUCCCAAAGUGCUGGGAUUACAGGCGUGAGCCACCGCGCCCAGCUGCUUUUUCUUUUUAAAAAGUAAAAUAUAACAGAGAAAACUGCACAAAACAGAAGUGUUCAAAUUAAAUUUUUUUUUUUUUGAGACAGGGUCUUGCCCUGUUGCCCAGGCUGGAGUGCAGUGGCUCAUUCAUAGCUCACUGCAGCCUCAAACUCCUGGGUUCAAGCGAUCCUCCCACCCCAGCCUCCUGAGUGGCUGGAAGGCCAAGGGAGGAUCGCUUGAGCCCAGGAGUUUGAGGCUGUGCCACCACACGCAGCUGGUUUUUUUUUUUUUUUUUAAUUUUUUGUAGAGACAGGGUCUCGCUAUGUCACCCACGCUGGUCUCAAACUCACGGGCUCAAGCAAUCCUCCCAUCUUUGGCCUCCCAAAGUACUGAGACUACAAACAUGAGCCAUCUUGCCCAGCCCCUAGAACGUGUUAUCAAAUAAACACCGAUGCAACCCUCACUCAGCUGAGAAGUAAAACAUUGCCAGCCAAUCCCUAAAUGCUUCUGCUUGCCGCUUCCCAAUCCUAACCAAUGCCUUCUCCUGACAAUUAUGAUGGUCAUGUCUUUGCAUUUCUCUAAUGUUUCCCAUCACGAUCAAACUAGUUUUGUUUUGCCUGUGUCCAAACUUUGCAUAAAUGAGCAGCAUGUGUCUGGUGGACCUGGCUUCUUCCACUCAACAUUAUGAUAAGAAGAUUGACCAUUUGGUGCCCAUAGCUAUUGCUCUUGCAUUUUCAUUGCUCUAUAGAUUCUUACUCAACAUACCUUAAAAAUUUUUUUAUUCUGAAAUAAGAGCGGGAUGCUAUUAAAAAAAGAAAAAAGAAGAGAACAAAAAAGUCCUCCAGUAAAUUUAAAAUAUGGUAGUCAAGGCCGGGCACGGUGGCUCACACCUGUAAUCCCAGCACUUUGGGAGGCUGAGGUGGGUGGAUCACCCGAGGUCAGGAGUUCGAGACCAGCCCGGCCAACAUGGCAAAACCCUGUCUCUACGAAAAAAAUACAUAAAUCAGCCAGGUGUGGUGGUGUGCACCCGUAAUCCCAGCUACUCGGGAGGCUGAGACAUGAGAAUUGCUUGAGCCCGGGAGGCAGAGGUUUCGGUGAGCUGAGAACUGCCACUGCACUCCAGCCUGGGUGACAGAAUGAGACUAUAAAAGAAAGAAAGAGAGAAAGAGAGAGAGAAAGGAAGGAGGGAAGGGAAGGGAGGGGAGGGGAGGGGAAGGGAGGGGAGGGGAGGGGAGAGAAGGGGAAGGGAAGGGAAGGAGAAGGGAAAGGGAAGGGAAGAAAAUUAGAGAUUAAUUCAGGAGAUUCAACAUCCGCCUAAUAGAAAUUCUAGAAAGAGGAAGUAGAGAAUAGAGAGGCCAGGUGCAGUGGCUCACACCUAUAAUCUCAGCACUUUGGGAGGCUGAAGUAGGAGGAUUGCUUAAGGCCAGGAGUUUGAGGCUGCAGUGAGCUAUGAUUGAGCCACUGUACUCCAGCCUGGAAAACAAAGCAAGACCUCGUCUCUAAAAGUAAUAAUAUGCCGGGACAGUGGCUCCCCACACUUUGGGAGGCUAAGGUGGGCGGAUCACUUGAGGUCAGGCUUUCGAGACCAGCCUGGCCAACAUGAUGAAACCCAAUCUCCACUAAAAAUAAAAAAAUUAGCCAGGUGUGGUGCUGCACACCUGUAACCCCAGCUACCUGGGAGGAGACAGGAGAAUCGCUUGAACCCGGGAGAUGGAGGUUGCAUGAGGUGAGAUCGCCUCAUUGCACUCCAGCCUGGGUGAUAGAAUGAGACUCUGUCUCAAAAUAAUAAUAAUAAUAAUAAAGUUAAAUAUAAAUAAAUAAAAGCAAAUGAAUAUAAUGAGUUUUAUUCAUUUGUUUUGCUGUUGUUAUUGUUUUGGAGACAGAGUUUUGUUCUUGUCGCCCAGGCUGGAGUACAAUGAUGCGAUCUGGUCUCACUGCAACCUUCGCUUCCUGGGUUCAAGCGAUUCUCCUGCCUUAGUCUCCUGAGUAGCUGGGAUUAGAGGCGUGUGACACCACGCCCGGGUAAUUUUUGUAUUUUUAGUAGAGACGGGGUUUCACCAUGUUGGCCAGGCUGGUCUCGAACUCCUGACCUCAGGUGAUCCACCAACCUGGGCCUCCCAAAGUGCUGGGAUUACAGGUAUGAGCUAUCAUGCCUGGCCUCAUUUCUUUUAAAAUCAGAAGGAAAAAAUAUAUAUAACUUUUAGGCCAAAAAUGUCUUCACAUAUAUUAAUAGAUUGAUCUUUUCCCAAUGCAACCAUAAAUAUCAUUUUUUAAAAUUAUUAUUAUUUUAGAAACAGGGUCUCACUCUGACGCCCAGGCUGAAGUGCAGUGGUAUGAUCUUAGCUCACUGUAGCCUCCAAUUCCUGGGCUCAAGCGAUCCUCCCACAUCAGCUUCUUGAAUGUGACCUCAGGCAGACGUCACCGUGCCCAGCUAAUUUUUAAUGUAAUUUUAUUUUUUUGGUAAAGAUGGGUUCUCAUUAUGUUGCCCAGGCCGGUCUUGAACUCCUGGCCUCAAGUGAUCCUCCUGCCUUGGCCUCCUAAGGUGCUGGUAUUAUAGGAUUGAGCCACCAAGCCCGGCCCGAAUAUAAUUUUUAAAUUUUUUUUUUUAAGACAGAGUUUCACUCUUGUUGCCUAGGCUGGAGUGCAGUGGCACGAUCUCGGCUGACCGCAACCUCCACCUCCCGGGUUCAAGCGAUUCUCCUGCCUCAGCCUCCUGAGUAGCUGGGAUUACAGGCAUGCACCACCACACCCAAAUAAUUUUCUAUUUUUAGUAGAGACAGGGUUUCUCCACAUUGGUCAGGCUGGUCUUGAACUCCCGACCUCAGGUGAUCCUCCCACCUCGGCCUCAUAAAGUGCUGGGAUUACAGGCAUAUGCCACCACGCCCGGCCUAAUUUUCUAAUUUUUUUUUUUAACUGAAGAAGGACCCCAGGAAGUCAAAAGUGCCUAUAACCCAGGAAAGUGGAAGGUCCCUGGCCCUGGCUCCAUGUGGCACGUGCUCUGGUCCUUCUCCAGCAGCAGGCUUGUCAGACCCUCCCAGUCCUUCAGCUGAGUCCCUGCACAGUCCCACAGGUUGUCUACUAAGUAAGCAGCGUGGUCGUGGAGCUGGGGAAGGAGGUGCAUGGGGAUUU